CCCGUCUCCCUGUUGAACUGGGUCUGGAGGCUAUAUUAGGGGAAGGCCGCGCCAUUUCUAGUCUACAUUAGGCCGUGUGCACUGACUUCUACACGUUCAGACGUUGCAGGAGCAGCUCCGUUACUGCAGCUUCAUGUCCUGGCGGAGAAGCGGCUCCACGAGGAGGAUCCCCGCCGCCUCCAUUCUAUGACACCGCUGCGUGCAGCCGCCCUGAGAGCAGUAUCUGGAGGGAGGACAUGGCCGCUACAUGACAAGAUGGCCACUGACUGCCUGCAGGAGGAUCUCCGCCGCCUCCAUACUGACACCAGUGUGCAGCUUCCUUGAGAGCAGUAUCUGGAGGGAGGACAUGAUAAGAUGGCUGCUGACUGCCGGCAGGAGGAUCCCCGCCACCUCCAUUCUAUGACACCGCUGUGUGCAGCCACCCUGAGAGCAGUAUCUGGAGGGAGGACAUGGCUGCUGACAUGACAAGAUGGCCGCUGGCUGCUGGAGGAUCUCUGCCGCCUCCAUUCUAGGACACCGCUGCUGUGUGCAGCUUCCUUGAGAGCAGUAUCUGGAGGGAGGACAUGGCCGCUACAUGACAAGAUGGCCGGUGACUGCCUGCAGGAGGAUCUCUGCCGCCUCAUUCUACGGCACCGCUGCGUGCAGCCGCCCUGAGAGCAGUAUCUGGAGGGAGGACAUGGCCGCUACAUGACAAGAUGGCCACUGACUGCCUGCAGGAGGAUCCCCGCUGCCUCCAUUCUGACACCCUGAGAGCAGUAUCUGGAGAGGGGACAUGACCAGAUGGCCGCUGACUGCCUGCAGGAGGAUCCCCGCCGCCUCCAUUCUAUGACACCGCUGUGUGCAGCCGCCCUGAGAGUAGUAUCUGGAGGGAGGACAUGGCUGCUGACAUGACAAUAUGGCCGCUGACUGCCUGCAGGAUGGAGCAGAGGCUAUUUGCCUCCAUUGGUGUCCAACCUAGGAUGGGCUAGAAACCACCGGAAAUGGCUCCAACAGAUGGGUAUGUGGAGCAGAAGUCUGACUGCAUGAGCCAAGACCUUCUAUAUAUGAAUAAAAAUCUAUAGAGCAAUGCC